GACGAACGCUGGCGGCGUGCUUAACACAUGCAAGUCGAACGGAAAGGCCCUGCUUUUGUGGGGUGCUCGAGUGGCGAACGGGUGAGUAACACGUGAGUAACCUGCCCUUGACUUUGGGAUAACUUCAGGAAACUGGGGCUAAUACCGGAUAGGAGCUCCUGCUGCAUGGUGGGGGUUGGAAAGUUUCGGCGGUUGGGGAUGGACUCGCGGCUUAUCAGCUUGUUGGUGGGGUAGUGGCUUACCAAGGCUUUGACGGGUAGCCGGCCUGAGAGGGUGACCGGCCACAUGGGGACUGAGAUAGGGCCCAGACUGCUACGGGAGGCAGCAGGGGGGAAUAUGGCACAAUGGGCGGAAGCCUGAUGCAGCAACGCCGCGUGCGGGAUGACGGCCUUCGGGUUGUAAACCGCUUUCGCCUGUGACGAAGCGUGAGUGACGGUAAUGGGUAAAGAAGCACCGGCUAACUACGUG
rnacentral:rRNA from 1 species